rnacentral:rRNA from 1 species
GACGAACGCUGGCGGCGUGCCUAAUACAUGCAAGUUGAGCGCUGAAGGUUGGUACUUGUACCAACUGGAUGAGCAGCGAACGGGUGAGUAACGCGUGGGGAAUCUGCCUUUGAGCGGGGGACAACAUUUGGAAACGAAUGCUAAUACCGCAUAAAAACUUUAAACACAAGUUUUAAGUUUGAAAGAUGCAAUUGCAUCACUCAAAGAUGAUCCCGCGUUGUAUUAGCUAGUUGGUGAGGUAAAGGCUCACCAAGGCGAUGAUACAUAGCCGACCUGAGAGGGUGAUAGGCCACAUUGGGACUGAGACACGGCCCAAACUCCUACGAGAGGCAGCAGUAGGGAAUCUUCGGCAAUGGACGAAAGUCUGACCGAGCAACGCCGCGUGAGUGAAGAAGGUUUUCGGAUCGUAAAACUCUGUUGGUAGAGAAGAACGUUGGUGAGAGUGGAAAGCUCAUCAAGUGACGGUAACUACCCAGAAAGGGACGGCUAACUACGUG